rnacentral:rRNA from 1 species
GACGAAGGAUGCAAGCGUUAUCCGGAUUCAUUGGGUUUAAAGGGAGCGUAGGCGGCCUUAUAAGUCAGUGGUGAAAUCUUUGGGCUUAACCCAAAAAUUGCCAUUGAUACUGUAGGGCUUGAGUACAGUUGCUGUGGGCGGAAUAUGACAUGUAGUGGUGAAAUACAUAGAGAUGUCAUAGAACACCGAUUGCGAAGGCAGCUCACAAAAACUGUAACUGACGCUGAGGCUCGAAAGUGCGGGGAGUCAAAACAGG